GCGCGGAGCGAAGGAGGAUGCGGUUGUCAAGGCGACGUGGGUCGGAGGAGGGGAAGAGGACGAGGGAGGAGGAAGGAUGGGCGGCCUGGGCGUAGCGGCGGGGAGGUGACUGAAGUGAGCCCAGCCCCUUGCAUCCUCCCCUGUGUACCUCCCUCGCCUUUUAUUCCGCCUUCUGCCGACCGAAGCCUCAGACGCAGCACCUGAGCCGUUACUGCCGCUCGCUCGGGACACCGCGAUGGCUGCGCCCGGCCACAGCCACCAUCCCUCUGCCAGAGGCAGGGGAAGAACUGAGAGGUGCACUCCCCGGCUUCUGCCGCUGCUGCUCUGGGCUGCUGCCACCUUCCAGGUGACCCAGGGAACCGGAGCUGAGCUUCACGCCUGCAAAGAGUCCGAGUACCACUAUGAGUACACUGCGUGUGACAGCACGGGUUCCAGGUGGAGGGUCGCGGUGCCGCACACCCCAGGCCUCUGCACCAGCCUCCCUGACCCCGUCAAGGGCACCGAGUGCUCCUUCUCAUGCAAUGCCGGGGAGUUUCUGGACAUGAAGGACCAGUCAUGUAAGCCAUGUGCCGAGGGCCGCUACUCCCUUGGCACGGGCAUUCGGUUCGACGAGUGGGAUGAGCUGCCCCAUGGCUUUGCCAGCCUCUCGGCCAACAUGGAGAUUGAUGACGGCAUCACUGAGUCCACUGAAAACUGCACAUCGUCCAAGUGGGUUCCCCGGGGCGACUACAUCGCCUCCAACACGGACGAGUGCACAGCCACGCUCAUGUAUGCCGUCAACCUGAAGCAGUCCGGCACCGUCAACUUCGAGUACUACUAUCCCGACUCCAGCAUCAUCUUCGAGUUUUUUGUUCAGAAUGACCAGUGCCAGCCCAGUGCCGAUGACUCCCGGUGGAUGAAAACCACAGAGAAAGGAUGGGAAUUCCACAGUGUUGAGCUAAAUCGAGGCAAUAAUGUCCUCUAUUGGAGAACCACGGCCUUCUCGGUGUGGUCCAAAGGUUCCAAGCCCGUGCUGGUGAGAAACAUCGCCAUAACAGGGGUGGCCUACACUUCAGAAUGCUUCCCCUGCAAACCUGGCACCUACGCGGACAAGCAGGGCUCCUCCUCCUGCAAACUGUGCCCAGCCAACACUUACUCAAAUAAAGGAGAAACUACUUGCCACCCUUGUGACCCUGACAAAUACUCAGGAAAAGGAUCCUCCUCCUGCAAAGUUCGUCCGGCCUGCACAGACAAAGAUUACUUUUACACCCACACAGCCUGUGAUGCCAAUGGAGAGACCCAGCUCAUGUACAAAUGGGCCAUGCCGAAAAUCUGUGCCGAGGACCUGGAGGGCGCAGUGCAGCUGCCUGCCUCUGGGGUGAAGACCCGCUGUCCACCCUGCAACCCAGGCUUCUUCAAGACCGCCAACAGCACCUGCGAGCCCUGCCCCUAUGGCUCCUACUCCAACGGCUCCGACUGUGCCCACUGCCCAGCUGGGACUGAACCUGCCGUGGGGUUUGAAUACAAAUGGUGGAACACGCUGCCUGCAAACAUGGAAACGACCGUCCUCAGUGGGAUCAACUUUGAGUACAAGGGCAUGUCAGGCUGGGAGGUGGCUGGCGAUCACAUUUACACAGCUGUUGGAGCCUCAGACAAUGACUUCAUGAUUCUCACUCUGGUCGUGCCAGGAUUUAGACCUCCGCAGUCGCUGAUGGCAGACACGGAGAAUAAAGAGGUCUCCAGAAUCACAUUUGUCUUUGAGACCAUCUGUUCCGUGAACUGUGAGCUCUACUUCAUGGUGGGUGUGAAUUCUAGGACCAACACCCCCGUGGAGACGUGGAAAGGCUCCAAAGGCAAACAGUCCUAUACCUACACCAUUGGGGAGAAUGCAACCAUGAGCUUCACCUGGGCCUUCCAGAGGACCACUUUCCACGAGACAGGCAGAAGGUACACCAAUGACGUUGCCAAGAUCUACUCCAUCAAUAUCACCAAUGUCAUGGGCGGAGUGGCCUCCUACUGCCGUCCCUGUGCCCUGGAAGCCUCUGGCCUGGGCUCCUCCUGCACCUCUUGUCCCGCUGGUUACUACAUCGACCGAGAUUCAGGGACCUGCCACUCCUGCCCUUCCAACACAAUCCUGAGAGCCCACCAGCCUUACGGCGCCCAGGCCUGCACACCCUGUGGUCCAGGGACCAAGAACAAUGAGAUCCACUCUCUGUGCUACAACGACUGCACCUUCUCACGCAACACUCCAGCCAGGACUUUCGACUACAACUUCUCAGCUUUGGCCAACACUUCUUCUCUGUCUGGAGGGCCAAGCUUCACUUCCAAAGGGCUGAAAUAUUUCCACCACUUUACCUUCAGUCUCUGUGGAAACCAGGGGAAGAAAAUGUCUGUGUGCACUGACAAUGUCACUGACCUCCGGAUCCCCGAGGGUGAGUCAGGUUUCUCCAAAUCCAUCACAGCCUAUGUCUGCCAGGCUGUCAUCAUCCCCUCAGAGGUGACAGGCUACAAGGCUGGGGUGUCCUCACAACCUGUUAGCCUUGCGGAUCGACUUAUUGGGGUGACAACAGAUAUGACUCUGGAUGGAAUCACCUCCCCAGCUGAACUUUUCCACCCGGAGUCCUUGGAACUACCGGACGUGAUCUUCUUUUAUAGGUCCAAUGACGUGACCCAGGCCUGCAGUUCUGGGAGGUCAACCACGAUCCGUGUCAGAUGCAAUCCACUGAAAGCUGCCCCUGGAAGUCUGCUGCUGCCAAGCACGUGUUCCGAUGGGACCUGCGACGGCUGUAACUUCCACUUCCUAUGGGAGAGCGUGGCCGCCUGCCCACUCUGCUCUGCCGCUGACUACCACACAUUCGUCAGCAGCUGUGUGGCGGGGAUACAGAAGACGACGUAUGUGUGGCGAGAACCGAAGUUCUGCGCUGGUGGCAUCUCCCUGCCUGAACAGAGGGUCACCAUCUGCAAAACGAUAGAUUUCUGGCUGAAAGUGGGCAUCUCUGCAGGCACCUGUACUGCCAUCCUGCUCACAGUCUUGACCUGCUACUUUUGGAAAAAGAAUCAAAAGCUCGUGUUCUGGUGUCUUGUCUUUCCCACCCCCGAUGCACAGACUAGAGUACAAGUACUCCAAGCUGGUGAUGAACGCCACGCUCAAGGACUGCGACCUGCCUGCGGCGGACAGCUGUGCCAUCAUGGAAGGAGAGGAUGUGGAAGAUGACCUCAUCUUUACCAGCAAGAAGUCACUCUUCGGGAAGAUCAAAUCAUUCACCUCCAAGAGGACCCCUGACGGAUUUGACUCGGUGCCGCUGAAGACCUCCUCGGGAGGCCCUGACAUGGACCUGUGAGGGGCACUGCCCUGCCUCUCCUGCCUCCUCCCCUUGGCACACUACCGUGCCAGCCUGUGGUGAUUUGGGGGCCAGCAGCCCACGACACCCACUGCUGGCAAUCUCUUCAUUGUGGCCUUAACCUAAGAAGUUUGAAUUUCAGAUCUUUGUUUUUUAUAGAGUACCCAUACCCUCCUUUCUGCUUGCCUCUAACCUUCCAAAUAUAGCCACACUUCGUUUGUAUAUGGUUCUCUUACUCGCAUCUCCUUUCUCAGAACGGUCCAGCCACCAGAGCUGUAGCUUUGUCUGCCCAUAAUUCUUACAGCUCUGGAUUGAACAUAUUUCUAUCUUUUAAACUGGAGACACUACUUCGUCCGUCCUCUUACUUAAGGGCAGAAACAUCAGAGAGUCUUCCUGAUCAUAGGCCCUCAGCUCAUGAUCUCUUAAGGAGAGAGGCUGAAUGAGGAGGGUGUUGGGGCUCCCUGAUGGCCAGUCUUCAUGGUAGCCUGGAUUCAUUGCUCCCAAACCACUGGCUCAGACAGUGUAACAGAUAGUCUGAGGGCAAAGUGAGUAAGGCUUGGGUAAGAAACGACUUGCUAAGCACAGAGAGGCAAGAGGAAGGGUGUUCUGUUUCGUUGUUGUAAAUCAGGUACCUCACUCCCUUCUCUUACGUGAUCAAUAUUCUUACUGAAGCCAAAGGAAAAAUUUAUCAAGAAAAUGCCCAGAUCUUGGGUGGAUUUUUCCCCCCUAUUUAUUAUUAUUUUUAAACCAUUUACC